GACAGUGUGAUGCGGCCCCAAGCCUGUGGAGGAUGCCACCAGGCCAGACUGCAACUUCUCUGCGUGACUCCCCCGUGCUGGGCCUCUGUUUCCCCUUCUGUCAAAUGGGGAGUCACAGCGUCUACCCUGCAGGGCAGAAAUAGGGUCUUGCUGCCACCCCUGCGUGCAGUAGUCCAAUCACAGCUCAUUGCAGCCUCCAACUCCUGGGCUCAAGUGAUCCUCCCGCCUCUGCCUCCACCUCCCCAGGAGCUGGAACUACAAGACCCAAUAUUGGUCCGUGAUCUGAUGAUGUUCACGGUCAAGACGGAAGCAAAAAAAGCACACACCGCGCGCCCUCGGUCACUAAUCACGCGGAGUAUACGCG
rnacentral:lncRNA from 1 species